CGCAAUGGGCGAAAGCCUGACGGAGCGACGCCGCGUGGUUGAUGAAGUCCUUCGGGAUGUAAAAACCUUUUGUAGGGGAGAAAGUUUAUUGAUAGUACUCUACGAAUAAGGGGUUGCUAAACUCGUGCCAGCAGCAGCGGUAAUACGAGUGCCCCAAGCGUUAUCCGGAAUUACUGGGCGUAAAGGGUGUGCAGGCGGUUUUGUUAGUCUUUUGUUAAGGCUCCCGGCUUAACCGGGAAAAUGCAAAGGAAACGGCAAGACUUGAGGGUGCGAGGGGUCUAUGGAACUCAUGGUGUAGGGGUGAAAUCUGUUGAUAUCAUGGGGAACACCAAAAGCGAAGGCAAUAGACUGGAGCAUUCCUGACGCUAAACAUGAAAGCGU
rnacentral:rRNA from 1 species